rnacentral:rRNA from 1 species
GAUGAACGCUGGCGGCGUGCCUAAUACAUGCAAGUCGAGCGAACAGACGAGGAGCUUGCUCCUCUGACGUUAGCGGCGGACGGGUGAGUAACACGUGGAUAACCUACCUAUAAGACUGGGAUAACUUCGGGAAACCGGAGCUAAUACCGGAUAAUAUAUUGAACCGCAUGGUUCAAUAGUGAAAGACGGUUUUGCUGUCACUUAUAGAUGGAUCCGCGCCGCAUUAGCUAGUUGGUAAGGUAACGGGUUACCAAGGCAACGAUGCGUAGCCGACCUGAGAGGGUGAUCGGCCACACUGGAACUGAGACACGGUCCAGACUCCUGCGGGAGGCAGCAGUAGGGAAUCUUCCGCAAUGGGCGAAAGCCUGACGGAGCAACGCCGCGUGAGUGAUGAAGGUCUUCGGAUCGUAAAGCUCUGUUAUUAGGGAAGAACAAAUGUGUAAGUAACUGUGCACGUCUUGACGGUACCUAAUCAGAAAGCCACGGCUAACUACGUG